rnacentral:lncRNA from 1 species
GGCUUUGCACAAGCUCGCACGGGCCUCUACAGGCUCGCAGAGGCCUGCUACGGGCUUGUGUGGGCUCGCACGGGCGCGCACGGGCUCGCAAAAGUUCGCACGGGCCUCUACGGGCUCGCACAAGCUCGCACGGGCCUCUACGGGCUCGCAGAGGCCUCCUACGGGCUCGUACGGGCUCGCACGGGCUCGCACGGGCGCGCACAGAAUGACAAGGGCUCGCUCAAGCUCGCACGUGCCUCUACGGCCUCGCAGAGGCCUCCU